UUGGGACUUAUCUGAACCAUUUACAAGAUCUGAUCAAAAACACAGAAGAUCAAAACUGUCAUUUACGUCCAUUAAUAUAAAUAACCAAAAUAUAUUCCAUUCCAACCUAAAAGUCGUCAUCCUCCAUCAACAUCCCACCGCCUCCUUCUUCACCAUCUGCCACCGUAUCCCUCUGAAUCUGCCACCGCCACUGUCGUUCUCCAUGAUCAGUAUCAAUCCGGCAACCGGCGAAUAAUCCUUUCGGAGCAAUUUUCACAAUCCGACCACCGGCGUUUUCUUCCGCUCAAUUGCAAAUUGCACAUGCCGCCACUGUCACCGCAACCAUCAGUUUCACCGAUAAAAGGAAUCUGCGAACCUCCGUCUUCAUUACUCCAUCAUCACGAAUCAGUCAAUCAUUUACCGGGUUAUGGAAGAAACCAAGGGAAAAAAAAAGGUUGCUGAAACCUAUGUCAAUUAGACGAGGAACAAGCUUUUGAGCUCCUACAGGAGCUUUACGACAGAUUCAGAGAAGGGGGAAUCACAAAUUUGCUGCAAGAAACUGAAGACUGGCUAUACGAAGAAAGUGACGAUGAAUGUGAAGAAGACUAUAAUCGAAAAAUCAAAUAUCUUAAAAAGGUGCCUAAAGUGCUAUUAUUAAGCUGCUGCAAUGCAAUAGGCUGGGCUAAUAUGUUGCAGAAGUGGCAGAAUGGAUAUCUGAAAGUCAAAGUCAAAUUCAACCUGCAGGGCAUUCGAUGGAAGUCAUAAAAGUUAAGGCGAUUCGAAGGUUAAAAGAUUUGCUAACUGUAAGACUUCCAAUGGGCACAUUUCCUGUUAAGUAGAUGAUUUUGAAGCUGCCAUUUAAUCUUGAGCUGAAGGUUACUCUCACAUAUUUAACAAGUUACACGAGGUGAAGCAUGGCGGCAGUGGAAAGUCACCAAGGUUAACGAGUGAACACUCUCAAAUUUAUGGUCAAAGACCCGAGAGUAAAAAGAGUGCAGGUAAAUCAGCAGCUUUGAACAGUUUGAUUGGACAUCCUGCUUUGCCAACUGGUGAAGGUGGUGCAACUCGUGCUCCUAUAUGCAUCGAAUUAAAGAGGUAUGAAAACCUAGCAAAUCGAUUGUCCUGCAGAUUGACAGCAAAUUUCAACCUGUUUCUGCAAGUGCUCUUCGCCAUUCAUUACAGGAGAGGCUUAGUAAGAUUUCAAGCAAAAGUCGGGAUGAAAUAUAUCUGAAGCUUAAAACAAGUACAGCUCCGUUGAAAUUGGUUGAUUUGCCUGGAGUUGACAAGGGAAAUCUUGAUGACUCUUUGGUUAGUGGCAAUGAAUUUAUUCGUUAUGACCAUGUCAUUUAAUUAUUCCCUACAAAGUUCCAUUUUGUUUUUUGGAGAGACGUGGUAACCUGAUUCAGAGUGAGUAUGCUCAACACAAUGAUGCAAUUCUGCUGGUUGUAAUACAGGCACCAGAAGUUGCCUCUGCAAAAGCCCUCAGAAUUGUAAAGGAAUAUGACGACAGCUCUACAAUUACUUGACUAAAUGUCCAUAUGUUUGCUUGUUGUAUCAGGAAAAAGACUUGAAGAGUAUUAGAAGUUUUAAAAUGCGAAAAAAGAGACGACAUGGAAUCUUCACUUCGGGGAGUGAAAACUGAUGGUAUCUCAUGAGGCAUGGAUGAGGAUUCUACUCCUUCAACUUGAUCAUCUCUGAUUUACAUUUCUUGUAAUCUAUCAUAAUUUAUAUACUUUAUUUUCUUUAGUGUUACAGUUUUUUUUUUUUUACUGCUUCUUUAGUAUUAUAGUGCUUUUGGGAUUCUAUUGAUACUUUUUUUUAUGGUGUUUCAACAACUUUUUUAUGA